AGAGUUUGAUCCUGGCUCAGGAUGAACGCUAGCGGCAGGCCUAACACAUGCAAGUCGAGGGGUAACGGGGUGCUUGCACCGCCGACGACCGGCGCACGGGUGCGCAACGCGUAUACAAUCUACCUUAUGCUGAGGGAUAGCCCAGAGAAAUUUGGAUUAAGACCUCAUAGUAUCGAGAGACGGCAUCGUUUUUUGAUUACAUUCAUGGGUUAAAGAUGAGUAUGCGUCCUAUUAGCUAGAUGGUAAGGUAACGGCUUACCAUGGCGACGAUAGGUAGGGGCCCUGAGAGGGGGAUCCCCCACACUGGUACUGAGACACGGACCAGACUCCUACGGGAGGCAGCAGUGAGGAAUAUUGGGCAAUGGAGGCAACUCUGACCCAGCCAUGCCGCGUGCAGGAAGACGGCCCUAUGGGUUGUAAACUGCUUUUAUACAGGAAGAAACAACUCUACGUGUAGCCUACUGACGGUACCGUAAGAAUAAGGACCGGCUAACUCCGUGCCAGCAGCCGCGGUAAUACGGAGGGUCCGAGCGUUAUCCGGAAUUAUUGGGUUUAAAGGGUCCGUAGGCGGGCCAUUAAGUCAGGGGUGAAAGUCUGCGGCUCAACCGUAGAAUUGCCUUUGAUACUGGUGGUCUUGAGUUAUGGUGAAGUGGCUGGAAUAUGUAGUGUAGCGGUGAAAUGCAUAGAUAUUAAAUAGAACACCGAUUGCGAAGGCAGGUCACUAACCAUAUACUGACGCUGAUGGACGAAAGCGUGGGGAGUGAACAGGAUUAGAUCCCCUGGUAGUCCACGCCGUAAACGAUGGAUACUAGCUGUCCGCCUUGAGAUCUGGGCGGCCAAGCGAAAGUGAUAAGUAUCCCACCUGGGGAGUACGUUCGCAAGAAUGAAACUCAAAGGAAUUGACGGGGGCCCGCACAAGCGGUGGAGCAUGUGGUUUAAUUCGAUGAUACGCGAGGAACCUUACCAGGGCUUAAAUGUAUUUUGACAGGUUUAGAGAUAGACUUUCCUUCGGGCAAUUUACAAGGUGCUGCAUGGUUGUCGUCAGCUCGUGCCGUGAGGUGUCAGGUUAAGUCCUAUAACGAGCGCAACCCCUGUUGUUAGUUGCCAGCGAGUCAAGUCGGGGACUCUAACGGGACUGCCGGUGCAAACCGUGAGGAAGGUGGGGAUGACGUCAAAUCAUCACGGCCCUUACGUCCUGGGCCACACACGUGCUACAAUGGCCGGUACAGAGAGCAGCCAUCUGGUGACAGAGAGCGAAUCUACAAAACCGGUCACAGUUCGGAUCGGGGUCUGCAACUCGACCCCGUGAAGCUGGAAUCGCUAGUAAUCGGAUAUCAGCCAUGAUCCGGUGAAUACGUUCCCGGGCCUUGUACACACCGCCCGUCAAGCCAUGGAAGCCGGGAGUGCCUGAAGUCCGUCACCGCAAGGAGCGGCCUAGGGCAAGAUCGGUAACUAGGGCUAAGUCGUAACAAGGUAACC
rnacentral:rRNA from 1 species